GACGAACGCUGGCGGCGUGCUUAACACAUGCAAGUCGAGCGGUAAGGCCCUUUCGGGGGUACACGAGCGGCGAACGGGUGAGUAACACGUGGGUGACCUGCCCUCAGCUCUGGGAUAAGCCUGGGAAACCGGGUCUAAUACUGGAUAUGACUCCAUGACGCAUGUUGUGGGGUGGAAAGCCUUGUGCGGCUGAGGAUGGGCCCGCGGCCUAUCAGCUUGUUGGUGGGGUGANGGCCCUACCAAGGCGACGACGGGUAGCCGGCCUGAGAGGGCGACCGGCCACACUGGGACUGAGACACGGCCCAGACUCCUACGGGAGGCAGCAGUGGGGAAUCUUGCGCAAUGGGCGAAAGCCUGACGCAGCGACGCCGCGUGAGGGAUGACGGCCU
rnacentral:rRNA from 1 species